UACGAAGGGGGCAAGCGUUGCUCGGAUUUAUUGGGCGUAAAGGGUGUGUAGGUGGCUUGAUAAGUUAGAUGUGAAAGCCCAGGGCUUAACCCUGGAAUUGCAUUUAAGACUGUUAAGCUUGAAGUUUGGAGAGGUUAGCAGAAUUCCCAGUGUAGAGGUGAAAGUCGUAGAUAUUGGGAAGAAUACCGAUGGCGUAGGCAGCUAACUGGCCAAAACUUGACACUGAGGCACGAAAGCGUGGGGAGCAAACAGG
rnacentral:rRNA from 1 species